CCCAGGGAGGUGUCUGAGAAACACUUUCAGCUACUUUCCCAAAGCUAAUUGUUUCCAAAGAUGCUUGAAACAGUUGUGUAGAGAACAGGAUGGACCAAACUGGGAGAUGACUGAGCACUGGAUGACCCUUGUGAUUCUCAGAGUGCUAUGAGGUAAGCCCUCUGUGACAUCACAGGGUAAAUCCCUGCCUUAGUAAUAGCAGAGUACUUAGCCUGAGGAUAACUCAGAGUCCAGCAAGGAGGUCUGGGAUUCACACUGAGCACAUUUGUCUGCCUAGGCUUGGGCUGUUUUCUGGGAUGAACUACCUGAAAUUCAUCGCAUGAGUAGCUCACUCAGUGUCCACAUCCAUAUGUGUGAAAGUGCAUGAGGACAUGGAAUGAUGCCACAUAUCUUGCUACAAGGGUGUUGCGGCCGCCAGCAGCUCGCAACAU